rnacentral:rRNA from 1 species
GAUGAACGCUGGCUACAGGCUUAACACAUGCAAGUCGAGGGGAAACGACGGGGAAGCUUGCUUCCCCGGGCGUCGACCGGCGCACGGGUGAGUAACGCGUAUCCAACCUGCCUCUGACUGAGGGAUAACCCGUCGAAAGUCGGCCUAAUACCUCAUGGCAUCGUCUGCGGGCAUCCAACGACGAUUAAAGAUUUCAUCGGUCAGAGAUGGGGAUGCGUCUGAUUAGCUUGUUGGCGGGGUAACGGCCCACCAAGGCGACGAUCAGUAGGGGUUCUGAGAGGAAGGUCCCCCAAAUUGGAACUGAGAAACGGUCCAAACUCCUACGGGAGGCAGCAGUGAGGAAUAUUGGUCAAUGGGCGAGAGCCUGAACCAGCCAAGUAGCGUGCAGGAUGACGGCCCUAUGGGUUGUAAACUGCUUUUAUGCGGGGAUAAAGUGAGGGACGUGUCCUUCAUUGCAGGUACCGCAUGAAUAAGGACCGGCUAAUUCCGUG